GAUGAACGCUGACAGCAUGCUUAACACAUGCCAGUCAACUUGAAUUUGGGUUUUUAACUUAGGUUUGGGUGGCGGACGGGUGAGUAACGCGUAAAGAACUUGCCUCACAGCUAGGGACAACAUUUGGAAACGAAUGCUAAUACCUAAUAUUAUGAUAAUAGGGCAUCCUAUAAUUAUGAAAGCUAUAAGCGCUGUGAGAGAGCUUUGCGUCCCAUUAGCUAGUUGGAGAGGUAACGGCUCACCAAGGCGAUGAUGGGUAGCCGGCCUGAGAGGGUGAUCGGCCACAAGGGGACUGAGACACGGCCCUUACUCCUACGGGAGGCAGCAGUGGGGAAUAUUGGACAAUGGACCGAGAGUCUGAUCCAGCAAUUCUGUGUGCACGAUGAAGUUUUUCGGAAUGUAAAGUGCUUUCAGUUGGGAAGAAACAAAUGACGGUACCAACAGAAGAAGUGACGGCUAAAUACGUG
rnacentral:rRNA from 1 species